rnacentral:rRNA from 1 species
GAUGAACGCUGGCGGCGUGCCUAAUACAUGCAAGUCGAGCGAACGGACGAGAAGCUUGCUUCUCUGAUGUUAGCGGCGGACGGGUGAGUAACACGUGGAUAACCUACCUAUAAGACUGGGAUAACUUCGGGAAACCGGAGCUAAUACCGGAUGAUAUUUUGAACCGCAUGGUUCAAAAGUGAAAGACGGUCUUGCUGUCACUUAUAGAUGGAUCCGCGCUGCAUUAGCUAGUUGGUAAGGUAACGGCUUACCAAGGCAACGAUGCAUAGCCGACCUGAGAGGGGGAUCGCCCAAACUGGAACUGGGACACGGUCCAGACUCCUACGGGAGGCAGCAGUAGGGAAUCUUCCGCAAUGGGCGAAAGCCUGACGGAGCAACGCGGCGUGAGUGAUGAAGGUCUUCGGAUCGUAAAACUCUGUUAUUAGGGAAGAACAUAUGUGUAAGUAACUGUGCACAUCUUGACGGUACCUAAGCAGAAAGCCACGGCUAACUACGU